GAAGGACUUUAUUCAGUUUUGUCACCCAAGAACCUAAGAAGAAAUCUGGAACACAAAAAAGAUAUGCCUGAUUUCACCGGAUGAUGGAAUUGGAAGAGACUCUAGAAUUCAAAUUUUCCAAAGCCUCUCACUCUACAGAAAACCCAACUUCUAUGUUAAAAAUCCUGUGUGGCAGAAACGGAGGAGGACACAAAGGAAAAGACCACAAGUGUGAGGCUGUGACUCUGCUGAACCAGAAAGAGGAUCUACACCGGACAGGGAAAUUCCAUCAUGGAUCAGCGUGGGUCAUCAGACGAAAUUUGAAGACCAUUAUUUUAAAAGCCACGAGGGAUGCUGAAAAAUUAUGGACAGGAAGCAAACAGACCUAG
rnacentral:lncRNA from 1 species